UGGGGAAUAUUGCACAAUGGAGGGAACUCUGAUGCAGCGACGCCGCGUGAACGAAGAAGGCUUUCGAGUCGUAAAGUUCUUUUAUAUGGGAAGAUAAUGACGGUACCAUAAGAAAAAGCCCCGGCUAACUACGUGCCAGCAGCCGCGGUAAUACGUAGGGGGCUAGCGUUGUCCGGAAUCACUGGGCGUAAAGGGUUCGCAGGCGGAAAUGCAAGUCAGGUGUAAAAGGCAGUAGCUUAACUACUGUAAUCAUUUGAAACUGCAUAUCUUGAGAAGAGUAGAGGUAAGUGGAAUUUUUAGUGUAGCGGUGAAAUGCGUAGAUAUUAAAAAGAAUACCGGUGGCGAAGGCGACUUACUGGGCUCAUUCUGACGCUGAGGAACGAAAGCGUGGGUAGCAAACAGG
rnacentral:rRNA from 1 species